rnacentral:ncRNA from 1 species
UUCCCGAACCUCGACGCGGAGAUUGGCGCUCCGGCGCCUAGUGCGGCAACGCAAACGAACUCGGAAACGCCGACGUGGGUCCCGGGAAGAGUUCUCUUUUCUUGGUAAGGGGCGGCGACCCUGGAAUCGGUUCGCCCGGAGAUAGGGACAUGGGCCCCGUAAAGCAGCACGUCUCUUGUGCUGUCCGGUGAGCUCGCGUCGGCCCUUGAAAAUCCGAGGGAGACGGUGGAAUUUUCGUGCGAGGUCGUACCCAUAUCCGCAGCAGGUCUCCAAGGUGAACAGCCUCUGGCCGAUAGAACAAUGUAGGUAAGGGAAGUCGGCAAACUAGAUCCGUAACUUCGGGAAAAGGAUUGGCUCUAGGGGCUGGGUCGGUCGGGCUGAGGUACGAAGCGGGGCGCGGCGCUGUACCGGACUGGGCGAAGGACGGCCUCCCUCGCGGGGGGCUGGGCGGGACCCUGGGAGGGGGGGGGGGGGGGGGGCAGCCGGGGUGCAGGGGGGGCGGGGGGGGGGGGGGGGGGGGGGGGGGGGGGAAGGGGGGGGCGCGGGGGGGCCACUGGGGUGUAUGAUUCAUGGAACUUACGAGAAAACGCACAGUCGGCGGUCAUACUGUUUACAGGCGCUUGUUGAUAUCGGCAUGUGUCGGGGAGACAUGUUAAAGCUUACUGUCGCCGUUGUGACUAAUAUCAUGGAUAACAAGGCUGUCGCAUUGAUUACGUAUUCGACACUUUUGAAGGCUUGCUUGACAGCGGCCUGAAGCAGUAGUCUGUACUCUGUAGUCCGGACAUCGAAUAACCAAACACCUCAUUGACAGUGGUACUUUGUUUGGCUAUUUUCGGCAAGAAAGAGUUGCCACGCCGGUUAAAAAUGUAAGGAAUGUAAGUGCUGGACAGCGGAUGUGCGUAGGCGAUUUUUAAAAAUACCCCGAGGGGGAAUUACCAGAAGAUAAAAAAUAGAUAGAGCAAAGCCCGGUUUUUCUGCAUUUUUGAACCUUAUUUGAUAGCCGG